GACGAACGCUGGCGGCGUGCUUAACACAUGCAAGUCGAACGGUAAGGCCCUUCGGGGUACACGAGUGGCGAACGGGUGAGUAACACGUGGGUGAUCUGCCCUGCACUUCGGGAUAAGCCUGGGAAACUGGGUCUAAUACCGGAUAGGACUCCUGCCUGGAUGGGUGGGGGUGGAAAGCUUUUGCGGUGUGGGAUGGGCCCGCGGCCUAUCAGCUUGUUGGUGGGGUGAUGGCCUCCCAAGGCGACGACGGGUAGCCGGCCUGAGAGGGUGACCGGCCACACUGGGACUGAGAUACGGCCCAGACUCCUACGGGAGGCAGCAGUGGGGAAUAUUGCACAAUGGGCGCAAGCCUGAUGCAGCGACGCCGCGUGAGGGAUGACGGCCUUCGGGUUGUAAACCUCUUUCAGCACAGACGAAGCGCAAGUGACGGUAUGUGCAGAAGAAGGACCGGCCAACUACGUGCCAGCCGCCGCAGUAA
rnacentral:rRNA from 1 species